AGGAAUUGGCGGGGGAGCACCGCAACGGGAGGAGCGUGCGGUUUAAUUGGAUUCAACACCGGAAAACUCACCAAGGGCGACUAUCACAUGAAAGCCAGGCUAAUGACCUUGCUUGAUUCUUAGAGAGGUGGUGCAUGGCCGUCGUCAGUUCGUACCGUAAGGCGUUCUCUUAAGUGAGAUAACGAACGAGACCCUCAUCUAUAAUUGCUACUUCAUUCUCCGGAAUGGAGGCACAUUAUCGAGACCGCUGGCGCUAAGUCAGAGGAAGGAGAGGUCAACGGUAGGUCAGUAUGCCCCGAAUCUCUUGGGCUACACGCGCGCUACAAAGGGCGGGACAAUGGGCUACGACGCCGAAAGGCGAAGUCAAUCUCGAAACCCGUCCGUAGUUCGGAUUGAGGCUUGUAACUCAGCCUCAUGAAGCUGGAUUCCGUAGUAAUCGCGAAUCAAAAACUCGCGGUGAAUAUGCCCCUGCUCCUUGCACACACCGC
rnacentral:rRNA from 1 species